GAUGAACGCUAGCGGCAGGCCUAAUACAUGCAAGUCGAACGCUCAGUAGCAAUACUGGGAGUGGCGCACGGGUGCGUAACGCGUACACAAUCUACCUCUAAGCGGGGGACACCUCCUGGAAACGGGGAUUAAUACCGCAUAAUAUGCCGAAGUCGCAUGACUUUGGUAUUAAAGCAGCAAUGCACUUAGAGAUGAGUGUGCGUCCCAUUAGGUAGUUGGUGAGGUAACGGCUCACCAAGCCUAUGAUGGGUAGCCGGUCUGAGAGGAUGGUCGGCCACACGGGCACUGAGACACGGGCCCGACUCCUACGGGAGGCAGCAGUGGGGAAUUUUGGACAAUGGGCGAAAGCCUGAUCCAGCCAUGCCGCGUGCAGGAUGAAGGCCUUCGGGUUGUAAACUAGCUUUUGUUACGGAACGAAAAGAACUACUGGUUAAUACCUGGGUCCGAUGACGGUACCGUAA
rnacentral:rRNA from 1 species